GCUUGAUCGUAAAAUUUAACCCACACCCAUAAACGCCAGGGUACUACGAGCCUUAGCUUAAAACCCAAAGGACUUGACGGUGUCCCACCCAACUAGAGGAGCCUGUUCUAUAAUCGAUGAUCCACGAUACACCAAACCAUUUCUUGCCAUUCAGCCUGUAUACCUCCGUCGCAAGCUUACCGUAUGAACGAAUAUUAGUAGGCCAAAGGACUUUAACGCCACAACGUCAGGUCAAGGUGCAGCUAAUGAAAUGGAGGUAAUGGGCUACAAUUUCUAAAUUAGAACAAACGAAACACUACAUGAAACAUAGUCAUGAAGGCGGAUUUAGCAGUAAGUAGGAAAUAGAGAGUCCUACUAAACAUGGCCCUGGGACGUGUACAAACCGCCCGUCACCCUCUUCGAUAGUCUUUAAUAUAGUCUAUAACACACUAACACGCCUUAGAAGAGGCAAGUCGUAACAUGGUAAGUAUACUGGAAAGUGUACUUGGAAUAACAAAAUGUAGCUUAAUUUAAAGCUCUUCGCUUACACCGAGAAAAUAUCUGUGAAACCCAGAUCAUUUUGAGUCCAAAAUCUAGCCUAAAUUAUUAUAUAUCACUACCAACUAAAUCAAUUUAAAUAAAACAUUUUAUCUUUAUAGUAGAGGCGAUCAAAAAAUACCUAAGAGCUUCAGAAAUAGUACCGCAAGGGAAAGUUGAAAUAAAAAUGAAAUAAGUUUAAAACUAAAUAAAGCAGAGAUUAUAACUCGUACCUUUUGCAUCAUGGUCUAGCUAGUAUUGUCAAGCAAAACGAAAUUUAAGUUUGCACCCCCGAAACUAAGCGAGCUACUUCAAAACAGCCUAAAGAGCCAACCCGUCUCUGUAGCAAUAGAGUGGGAAGAUUUUCAAGUAGAAGUGAUAAGCCUAACGAGCUUAGAGAUAGCUGGUUAUUCAGGAAAAGAAUAUUAGUUCUACCUUAAAUCCCCCAAUGAUAUUAAACAAACCCCAAGAUUUAAGAGCUAUUCAACUAAGGCACAGCUUAUUUGAAAUAGGACACAACCUAUACAAUAGGGUAAAAAACAUAAUUAUAAUAUUAAGUGGGCCUAAGAGCAGCCACCUUUAAAAAAGCGUUAAAGCUUAUUAUUUAUAUUCAGUAAAUACCAUAAAUUAAUAUGAACCCUUACCCCGUACUGAAUAAUUCCAUAUUAAUAUGAAAAAUAUCCUGCUGGAACCAGUAACAAGAAUUUGAUAUUCUCCAAAAUGUAAGCAUAAACCAAAAUGGACACUCCACUGGUAAUUAACGAAAAUGAACAAACUAUAGUAACCCAACAAGAAAAACCUAUAAAUCUUCUCGUUAACCUAACACUAGAACAUUUCUGGAAAGAUUAAAAGAGAAAGAAGGAACUCGGCAAAUUUUAACCCCGCCUGUUUACCAAAAACAUCGCCUCUUGACUAAUUAUAAGAGGUCCAGCCUGCCCAGUGAUAUAUUCAACGGCCGCGGUACCCUGACCGUGCGAAGGUAGCAUAAUCACUUGUUCUUUAAAUAGGGACUAGUAUCAACGGCAUCACGAGGGUUACACUGUCUCCUUUCUCCAAUCAGUGAAACUGAUCUCCCCGUGAAGAAGCGGGGAUAUAACUAUAAGACGAGAAGACCCCAUGGAGCUUUAAAUUUACAGCAACUCAGUUAAACAAUCCCUUGUAAUUUACAGAGCCAUGCAUACCAAUUUUAGGUUGGGGUGACCGCGGAGUAAAAAUUAACCUCCACGACGAAAAGA
rnacentral:misc_RNA from 1 species